AUUGAACGCUGGCGGCAGGCUUAACACAUGCAAGUCGAGCGAGCGGCGGACGGGUGAGUAAUGUCUGGGAAACUGCCUGAUGGAGGGGGAUAACUACUGGAAACGGUAGCUAAUACCGCAUACCAUCAGAUGUGCCCAUAUGGGAUUAGCUAGUAGGUGGGGUAAUGGCUGACCUAGGCGACGAUCCCUGCCUGGUUUGAGAGGUGAACAGGCCACAUGGGAAUGAGAAAAGGGUCAGACUCCCACGGGGGGGCGGCGGUGGGAAUAUUGCACAAUGGGCGCAAGCCUGAUGCAGCCAUGCCGCGUGUGUGAAGAAGGCCUUCGGGUUGUAAAGCACUUUCAGCGAGGAGGCGUUACUCGCAGAAGAAGCACCGGCUAACUCCGUGCCAGCAGCCGCGGUAAUUC
rnacentral:rRNA from 1 species